ncrna:unclassified sequences NiCo riboswitch
GCGGGACGAACUGAGCAGGCAGUGUUUCUUCCGGGAAACAUGUGGCUGGGCCGUGGAAACGGCAGCAGAAGGAGCAUCAUGCGCAUCUGCGGGACAGAG